rnacentral:rRNA from 1 species
AGUCUGCAACUCGACUACAUGAAGCUGGAAUCGCUAGUAAUCGCAGAUCAGAAUGCUGCGGUGAAUACGUUCCCGGGUCUUGUACACACCGCCCGUCACACCAUGGGAGUCGGAAAUGCCCGAAGCCGGUGACCAAACCAAUAAGGAAGGAGCCGUCGAAGGCAGGUCUGAUAACUGGGGUGAAGUCGUAACAAGGUACC